rnacentral:rRNA from 1 species
GACGAACGCUGGCGGCGUGCUUAACACAUGCAAGUCGAACGAAGUGGCGAACGGGUGAGUAAUACGUGAGUAACCUGCCCUCCUUUUUGGGAUAAGCCUUGGAAACGGGGUCUAAUACCGAAUAAAGGGGGAGGGGCUCGCGGCCUAUCAGCUUGUUGGUGGGGUGGUGGCCUACCAAGGCGGUGACGGGUAGCCGGCCUGAGAGGGUGACCGGGCACAUUGGGAGGGGGGUAAGGCCCAGACUCGUAAGGGAGGCAGCAGUGGGGGAUAUUGCACAAUGGGUGAAAGCGUCAGGAAGCGACUCCACGUGGGGGAGGAAGACUUUGGGUUCGUAACCCUCUUUCGCUACCGAAAGGGUAGGUGGAGAAGAAGCGCCGGCUAACUACGUGCUAGCGGCCCGGGUAAUU